UACGUAGGGGGCUAGCGUUAUCCGGAUUUAUUGGGCGUAAAGAGCGUGUAGGCGGCCAGGUAGGUCUGCUGUGAAAACUCGAGGCUCAACCUCGAGACGUCGGCGGAAACCAUCUGGCUAGAGUCCGGAAGAGGAGAGUGGAAUUCCUGGUGUAGCGGUGAAAUGCGCAGAUAUCAGGAAGAACACCCGUGGCGAAGGCGGCUCUCUGGGACGGUACUGACGCUGAGACGCGAAAGCGUGGGGAGCGAACAGG
rnacentral:rRNA from 1 species